UAUGACUUAAAACAGAUCUUCAUUUUGCCUU
rnacentral:piRNA from 1 species